UGCGGUCCAGUGUUAUUUGUCAGGCUACAUGAUUCCUUCCCCUGUUUUAAAGAAACGGAUUGGUAGCCAGUGGAGCUGCCGCAACAUGGAAGUUGUCUGCUCUCUGUACAGCACUCCAGUUAAUAAUCUGGCUGCCAAUCUCUGGACCAGUUGAAGUUUCCAAACUAUCUUCAAAGGCAACCCCAUUACAAGGUAAGUAAGGCUGAUAUUUCACAUUGGUUCAGAAUACACUCAAUGCAUUUUGUGAUAGAGGAAUACAAUUCCAGGUGAUGAUACUUGUUUAAAAUUAUAUUGUUUUAUCAGUAGAAUGUCAAUCAUUUCACCCUCACAAUGCCAUUUGGGUUAUUUAACUUGUGUUGUUGUUUCCUAGUUUUUUGUUGCUGGCUACCUGCUGAUUUUUGAAGCUUACUUACAACUUGAGCAAAAGACACAUUUAGUAUUUGCAUGUAUUUAAAUCAGGUGACAUGGAAAUCAGUAAAACCUAAGAAGUUUAAAGAGUUGAAUUUCAUCUCACUGCUUUCUGGGGGAAUCUAAAGCUGCAAUGGGGGAUAUGGAAAGGGAUGCUCUUUCUUUGGCUCAUUCAUUAAAUAAUCCUGGGCUUUGUCAAAUGCUGGCCUAGUACAUGUGGAACAAGGGAAGGGCAGGGAGGAGACUUUAGAUUGCUGGGGGCAGAAUGUCAAGACUUAUGGGCUCUUCCGCUUGAAUGAAGUUGAGAAAAUGGAUUGUUACCAAGGCUGCUCUUUUCACAGCCAGCUUCAGGGCAUGGUAGACCCUCCACCGCGAAAAGGAGCCUUCCGUCUGGUAAAUUGAUGCACUGCCUCCAUGACAGCAGUGAAUUCGAGGUGCAAGGUCUUUGCUUCUUUUAGCUGCAGGCUUGGAUCACUUCACAUUCCAUGCAGCCUGAGACAAGGGAAAAGAGAGAGAUAGAGAAACAAAUACUUUUGA
rnacentral:lncRNA from 11 species